rnacentral:lncRNA from 1 species
ACAGAAUUAAUCAACUACAGAUUGGAAAUGAUAAUAUUAAUUGAAAAAACUAAUUCUGGAAAGUUCCAAAAUGCUGUGAAUUUGCUGUGCUCUGGCAACUAUUUAUAACAUUUAUAUUGUAUUUCACAACAUUUACAUUGUAUUAGGUAUUACAAGUAGUCAAAGGAAAAACUGGACUCCAAGAAGAAGAAUGACUUCCAUGGAGUUGAACGAACUGCUCAAGCAUGGGAGUUAAAAUUUCACUGAAAUCUCUCUGGACUGCAUCAAGUCAUCCCUUUGCCUGUGAUCAGCUACAGUUUAUUUCAGCUUGCUGGAGCCUUUGCUUCCCAGUGACCAGUGAGGAAGUCUUGAAGAAUAGAGCCAUAAAGAAAGCAAAGCUUGGAGAUGUUGGAUUUGAAGUGAGUGUUUCCUUACAGCUUCUGGUUCUAAACACUAAUUUCUUUUCUGAGUUGUAGAGUAUUUCCACCUCUGGAAGCAAUCAGAUCAAUAAAUGCUUUUUUUUAAAAUUAUCUUUUAUAUAACCUAUCAAAAAUGCCUUUUAAAAAUAUAUAAUAGUUU